AUACGGAGGGUGCAAGCGUUAUCCGGAUUUAUUGGGUUUAAAGGGUCCGUAGGCGGAUCUGUAAGUCAGUGGUGAAAUCUCAUAGCUUAACUAUGAAACUGCCAUUGAUACUGCAGGUCUUGAGUAAGGUAGAAGUAGCUGGAAUAAGUAGUGUAGCGGUGAAAUGCAUAGAUAUUACUUAGAACACCAAUUGCGAAGGCAGGUUACUAUGUCUUAACUGACGCUGAUGGACGAAAGCGUGCGGAGCGAACAGGAUUAGAAACCCCAGUAGUCC
rnacentral:rRNA from 1 species